AGAUUGAACGCUGGCGGCAUGCCUUACACAUGCAAGUCGAACGGCAGCACGGGAGCAAUCCUGGUGGCGAGUGGCGAACGGGUGAGUAAUAUAUCGGAACGUGCCCAGUCGUGGGGGAUAACGCAGCGAAAGCUGUGCUAAUACCGCAUACGAUCUCUGGAUGAAAGCGGGGGACUCGACAAGGGCCUCGCGCGAUUGGAGCGGCCGAUAUCAGAUUAGCUAGUUGGUGGGUAAACGCCACCGAGGCGACGAUCUGUAGCUGGUCUGAGAGGACGACCAGCCACACGUGGAACUGAGACACGGUCAGACUCUACGGGAGCAGCAGUGGGAUUUGGACAAGUGGGCGACAAGUCCUGACUACCGAGCAAGU
rnacentral:rRNA from 1 species